CAGAGGAACCCUCGGGCCGCUUUUAUUCUUCCUCCCUUUUUCGUUCUUCUUCUUCUUCUUCUUCUUCGAUCGGAGAAUGCGCUCGAUCUGGGUUUUCUGAUCUUGGUUCGGAUUCUGGAUAAGCGAUUAGAGGCGAGAUGGGUUCUCGGGAUGAGAAGGGCAACGGCGAGCAGUGGAAGGAGAGGGAGCGCGCGACUAGGGCUUGGCGCGUCGCUCUCUUCGGAUUUGUCGGGGUCGCCGCCGCUGGCCUCGUGAGAUCAAAUUCAUCGCCCAACCAGAUUUGAUCCAGGUCCUCGCUACCCAAAGCAUCACUUGCUUGUCCAAGCUGCGGCCAAGGAGAGAGGAAGUAACUGCAUUCAUUUUCUUCAUCAAGCUGAACCAACGGGGCAAGAAAAUGCUGUGUGCAGAAGGCCUGAUCCUCAUCACAAGAAGGAGGCAACUGCACCCAAGGAGAGAGGAAAGUACUACGUUCAUUUUCUUCCUCAAUCUGAACCAACGAGGCAAGAAGCUGGGUGCAGAACGCCUGGUCAUCAUCGCAAGAAGAAGGAGACGGUUCAGGAGACUGUUCAAGAAACAUUGGCAGCUGCCAGUUACACACCCUCUUCGCCGGUGGCUGUGCGGUGCAUUCAGAAAACAGAGCGGCCUCAUGCGGCUGCGAUCUCUUGGGCGGCGGCUGUGCGGUGCAUUCAGGAAACAGAGCCGACGGUAAGUUGGCGGCCUCGUACGAUCUCUUGGGCGGCGUCUCAGCAGUGCAUUCAGGAGACAGAGCGGACUCAUGCGGUCGCGUCGUCGGAAAGUUGGCAGCCGAUCGCUUUUUGAUCUUGCCCGCCCGGUUCUUGAUAUGGCAGAGUACUUGGGUCUGGAAGACGCCGGCGACGGAGAGAAGUUCGUAUUCGUGCAUGAUCCAACCUGAAUUUUUGCUCUUGCCGUCGUUGAAAGACAAACUGCUCUUGCAACCCACGGCGAUCUCCCGUCCUUCGGCAUCUAGCGUGGUCACAAAUUCUUCUUUCUUGCUGUACAGGGUCCAAGUCCCUGUUCCGGCCCUUCGAUCCACCCUGCUUCCGACAGCGUUCUUGCGCUUUCUCAUGGCGAAAAAGUAGCCUUCUUGGUCGCCAUUCCUCAAAAGAUUCCAGGGUUCGGUGCCGUAGACGUCGGCUUCGACGACCGCCGUUGACGGCACUAGCUUUCCAGCAACUCUAUUAGCCAGAUAGUCGACAAUGAGCUCUUUAUCUGUCGGAAGAAAGCGAUAGCCGAUGGGAAUCGCCGUCGCCGUUCCGCCCGUCGUCCUCGCCAUUCCGAAUUUCCGAUCGUUGUGUCGUCGUCGACUCGUCUGGUCGGAGUGCCGCUUUCAGUGUAAUAAAUAUGGUUCGGGUCCGGACCCGGGCCGGGCCGGGCCGGGUUAAGUAUCCGUUGACCCGGUCGAAGGACCAAACCCUAUAAGCAAACUCGAGAUCGCGGCGGAGGAUCAGUUCGGCCGCUGCGAGAAGGCGACGCCGGUCGAAGACCAGGAGGUGGGGGCGAAGCUCUCCCACUUGCUUUCCAAAUUGAACCCGGCCGCCGAGGAGUCUCUCUCUCUCUCUCUUCACUUCCAUGGGACGGCGAAAAAGCGGCGGCACCAAAGCUGAAGCUGACAGCCAGAAGAGCCAUGGGCUCGCCCUGGGCAUCGCCUGCGUCGUGGGAGACAGAAUGGGGGUGGACGGCGAGGAGAUGGAGGAGAAUGCCGAGAGCUCCAACCUCGACGACUCGCCGUUGAUCGGCGCGGACAACACCAGCGCCGGACUACGACUCAAUGCUGAAAAAAAGAGUUUUUUCCCUUAUUUUUUUUAUUAUGGGUUAAUUGCUAUGUUUUUUAUAUACUUUAUAACUUUUACGAAUCUAUCACAUAUUUUUAAAAAUAACUAAACCUACUGUAUAACCUCGACAUUGUAUCAAAAGAUCAUUUGAAUUAUUAUUGGGGAAGCCAGAACAAAUACAUUCUAGGUGUUUUUUUUUUUGUCUAACAAGUUAACUACAGGAGCUGACUCCUUAUUUUGUCUUUCUAUUUGCAGGUACCCAUGAAGUAAGUUAUUCAUUUCUGAUUCAUGAGCUACUACUGGUUGCCAUCUUGUGCAAACAGCUUCUUUGUUUGCUUCUGAUCCUUUGUGUUUAGUAAUCACUUGGAGAUAAAAUAAAAGAGAGACAAUAAUACUCGUCAAUAGUAUCUUCUUUCUCUUGUUAUGAUUCUCUGCAUCUUUUUUCCUCAUUUUUUUUUUCUAACAAUAGACAUCAACCUCCAGUUUUUGUGAUUUGCUAGUGGCUGAAUAUUAUUUGAUUGGUUUGGAGAUCAUAACGAUCUUAUCAUGCGUAGAAGGGUUAUUACAAGCUAAUAAUAGACCUUAUUAGACAUGACAAACAGUCAAGGGAUGUGACACAUUUGAGAAACAUAAGAUUAAAUGUAUAGGAUAGAGCCUCAAUAAGCUUUGAUCUACCUGUGUGUUUUCUAAGAUUUGCCAAAUAUUUUAGUGAACUUCUAUUUUGUAUAACUUGUCUCCUAUUCUAAGUAGGUUACUCAGAAGCACUCAAAUGGUUUUUUUUAUUGUUUAUGCAAAUUUAAGCGUUAUUGUUGACAAAAAAAAAGUUCUGUUAUUUCUUUGGGAUAUUUAUUAGUCUAAACUAAAUGUUGUAAGUGAUGCAUCUGUUUGACCUGAGCUUCCUGGUCUGCAUCAUAGAAGUCCAUUGUUAUAAGCUUAAAUUUCUAGGCAUCAUUGUUGAUAGUAGGAUUUUCAUCUCUUUUGAUUUUCUGUUGUUAUUUACUUUUGCUUUCUUUUAUUCUCUUUUGAAAUCAUUUAUCUUUUUUUUUUUUUGAUGCAUUGGAUUCCCUUAACUUUCUUUGUCCGGCAGGAAAUGUUAAAGGAUGUUGUUAGGACAAAAACAUAUCAGAAUGUUAUUUAUCAGAAUACAUUUCUAUUCAAGAACAAGGUUGUCCUCGAUGUGGGUGCAGGAACAGGAAUUUUGUCUCUGUUUGUGCUAAAGCAGGGGCAAAACGCGUAUAUGCAUUAAGUCAUUUUCUGAAUUGCCUACUCUGCAAUGAAUUAAAUGCAUAAAUAGUUGGAAAUCAUAUCAUAUCUGUGAAAUGAGCUAUCGAGUAAUGGGGAAAUGACAGUUAUUCCCUAACUAGUUCUAGAUAUAUAGAACUGUUCUCUGAGCAUCUUGAAAGGGGUUUUUUCCCCUACUAAUAAUUUUCUUUCCUGUUUUGUGCGAAUUUCUGGAUCUCCAUGUGACUAGAUCAAACGUGUAUACACAGAGUAAUCACAAGUAUAGACUUUCUGACUG